UACGUAGGGGGCAAGCGUUGUCCGGAUUUAUUGGGCGUAAAGCGCUCGCAGGUGGUCCGAUGCGUCGUGCGUGAAAGACCCCGGCUCAACUGGGGAGGGUCGUGCGAUACGGGCGGACUAGAGUACUGCAGGGGAGACUGGAAUUCCUGGUGUAGCGGUGGAAUGCGCAGAUAUCAGGAGGAACACCGGUGGCGAAGGCGGGUCUCUGGGCAGUAACUGACGCUGAGGAGCGAAAGCGUGGGGAGCGAACAGG
rnacentral:rRNA from 1 species